rnacentral:rRNA from 1 species
CCUACGGGAGGCAGCAGUGGGGAAUAUUGGACAAUGGGCGCGAGCCUGAUCCAGCCAUGCCGCGUGUGUGAAGAAGGCCUUCGGGUUGUAAAGCACUUUCAGCGAGGAGGAAAGGUUGAUGGUUAAUAUCCAUCAGCUGUGACGUUACUCGCAGAAGAAGGACCGGCUAACUCCGUGCCAGCAGCCGCGGUAAUACGGAGGGUCCAAGCGUUAAUCGGAAUUACUGGGCGUGAAGCGCGCGUAGGCGGUUAGGUCAGUCAGAUGUGAAAGCCCUGGGCUCAACCUGGGAACUGCAUCUGAUACUGCUUAACUAGAGUUUGGUAGAGGAGUGUGGAAUUUCCUGUGUAGCGGUGAAAUGCGUAGAUAUAGGAAGGAACACCAGUGGCGAAGGCGACACUCUGGACCAAAACUGACGCUGAGGUGCGAAAGCGUGGGGAGCAAACAGGAUUAGAUACCCUGGUAGUCCACGCCGUAAACGAUGUCUACUAGCCGUUGGGGGACUUGAUCCUUUAGUGGCGCAGCUAACGCGAUAAGUAGACCGCCUGGGGAGUACGGUCGCAAGAUUAAAACUCAAAGGAAUUGACGGGG